UACGGGGGGGGCAAGCGUUGUUCGGAAUUACUGGGCGUAAAGGGCUCGUAGGUGGCUAACUAAGUCAGACGUGAAAUCCCUCGGCUUAACCGGGGAACUGCGUCUGAUACUGGAUGGCUUGAGAUUGGGAGAGGGAUGCGGAAUUCCUGGUGUAGCGGUGAAAUGCGCAGAUAUCAGGAGGAACACCGGUGGCGAAGGCGGGUCUCUGGGCCGAUACUGACGCUGAGGAGCGAAAGCGUGGGGAGCGAACAGG
rnacentral:rRNA from 1 species